GUUCUUAAAGGGACAUCUAAUAAAAUUGGAACGAUACAAAGAAGAUUAGCAUGGCCCGCGCAAGGAUGGCAUGCGCAAAUCAAGAAAUGGUCCAAAAUUUU
rnacentral:snRNA from 1 species